rnacentral:rRNA from 1 species
UACGUAGGGGCCAAGCGUUGUCCGGAUUUAUUGGGCGUAAAGAGCUCGUAGGCGGUUGGGUAAGUCGGGUGUGAAAUCUCAGAGCUCAACUCUGAAGCUGCACUCGAUACUGCUCUGCUUGAGGACUGGAGAGGAGACUGGAAUUCACGGUGUAGCAGUGAAAUGCGUAGAUAUCGUGAGGAAGACCAGUGGCGAAGGCGGGUCUCUGGACAGUUCCUGACGCUGAGGCGCGAAGGCCAGGGGAGCAAACGGG